GGCUUCUGCAACAGUUCUCGGAUCACGCUGUCGUAGGACUUGCGGAUGUUGGAGCGGCCCACCUUCUCCGCCGUAGCGAUGCAGAUGUUGCGCAGGCGAGCUUCCUGCUCGAAGGCCUCGAUCCCUGUCUCCCCGUAAUCACCCUCGGAGGCUACUGUGGACACAUGGCUACAUUUUUCUGAUAGUUCUUGAGAUGAAUACCAGAUGCUUCCUUGGAUACUGUAUUUUGGCACUAGGAAGCAGGUCUCACACAGGUAUAGGAAGCAGGUCUCACACAGGACUAGGAGACUCUGGACAAAAUGGCCUAUACUGACUUAUUUAGGCAUAGGAAUAUUGCUUCACUCAGCCUGACUGAAAUGGCAGGUGUCACCAAACAGGUACUGUCAUUACUUCUAGAAUGGGUGCCUGGCUUCCACUGGAUUUAUGUACCACUAUGGAAGGCUUGGUGAUAGGAGCCCUGUCUAUGCAUAGCUUGACUUUGUUAAGAGGUUUCUGGCUAGCACUGGAGAGGCCAUCUCUUCUUGAUACAAUGAUUUUCUCAUCUUCAAGUUAUAUUAAUCAGGACCUGAACCCCUCAGGGAGACAGAGAAUAAAAGGACCUAAAAAAUAUCUGGACAUUAUUUUCUGGCAGUGAAGAAUCACAGUGAAACGAUCCUAAACUGCUGAAAUUUCCUCUCCCAUAGGGGUAGGAGUAAUGAGAAGCUGCUCAA
rnacentral:antisense_RNA from 1 species